GGGGAUAUAGCUCAGUUGGUAGAGCACUUGCUUUGCAAGCAAGGGGUCAGCGGUUCGAAUCCGCUUAUCUCCACCA
rnacentral:tRNA from 1 species